rnacentral:rRNA from 1 species
CUUGAACCCUAUAAGAGGUCCAGCCUGCCCAGUGAAACAAUUCAACGGCCGCGGUAUCCUAACCGUGCGAAGGUAGCGUAAUCACUUGUUCUCUAAAUCAGGACUAGUAUGAACGGCAUCACGAGGGUUAUACUGUCUCCUUUUUCCAAUUAGUGAAUUUAAUUUUCCCGUGAAGAAGCGGGAAUAAGCCUAUAAGACGAGAAGACCCUAUGGAGCUUUAAACAAUCUAGCAUUUGCCUAUUUUCUUCAUGUUUCAGAACUCUCUAGACCUCCUACAUAAUGACUAGAAGUUUUAGGUUGGGGUGACCGCGGAGUAAAACCCAUCCUCCAUAAUGAAAGAAUUUUAAUUCUUAACCAAGAAAUACCUAUCUAAGUAUUAACACACUAACAUUUAUUGACCCAAUACAAUUGAUCAACGAAC